GACGAACGCUUGCGGCGUGCUUAACAUAUGCAAGUCGAACGGAAAGGCCCUGCUUUUGGGGGGUGCUCGAGUGGCGAACGGGUGAGUAACACGUGAGUAACCUGCCCUUGACUUUGGGAUAACUUCAGGAAACUGGGGCUAAUACCGGAUAGGAGCUCCUGCUGCAUGGUGGGGGUUGGAAAGUUUCGGCGGUUGGGGAUGGACUCGCGGCUUAUCAGCUUGUUGGUGGGGUAGUGGCUUACCAAGGCUUUGACGGGUAGCCGGCCUGAGAGGGUGACCGGCCACAUUGGGACUGAGAUACGGCCCAGACUCCUACGGGAGGCAGCAGUGGGGAAUAUUGCACAAUGGGCGGAAGCCUGAUGCAGCAACGCCGCGUGCGGGAUGACGGCCUUCGGGUUGUAAACCGCUUUCGCCUGUGACGAAGCGUGAGUGACGGUAAUGGGUAAAGAAGCACCGGCUAACUACGUGCCAGCAGCCGCGGUGAUACGUAGGGUGCGAGCGUUGUCCGGAUUUAUUGGGCGUAAAGGGCUCGUAGGUGGUUGAUCGCGUCGGAAGUGUAAUCUUGGGGCUCAACCCUGAGCGUGCUUUCGAUACGGGUUGACUUGAGGAAGGUAGGGGAGAAUGGAAUUCCUGGUGGAGCGGUGGAAUGCGCAGAUAUCAGGAGGAACACCAGUGGCGAAGGCGGUUCUCUGGGCCUUUCCUGACGCUGAGGAGCGAAAGCGUGGGGAGCGAACAGGCUUAGAUACCCUGGUAGUCCACGCUGUAAACGGUGGGUACUAGGUGUGGGGUCCAUUCCACGGGUUCCGUGCCGUAGCUAACGCUUUAAGUACCCCGCCUGGGGAGUACGGCCGCAAGGCUAAAACUCAAAGGAAUUGACGGGGCCCCGCACAAGCGGCGGAGCAUGCGGAUUAAUUCGAUGCAACGCGUAGAACCUUACCUGGGUUUGACAUGGAUCGGGAGUGCUCAGAGAUGGGUGUGCCUCUUUUGGGGUCGGUUCACAGGUGGUGCAUGCCUGUCGUCAGCUCGUGUCGUGAGAUGUUGGGUUAAGUCCCGCAACGAGCGCAACCCUUGUUCACUGUUGCCAGCACGUUAUGGUGGGGACUCAGUGGAGACCGCCGGGGUCAACUCGGAGGAAGGUGGGGAUGACGUCAAGUCCUCAUGCCCCUUAUGUCCAGGGCUUCACGCAUGCUACAAUGGCUGGUACAGAGAGUGGCGAGCCUGUGAGGGUGAGCGAAUCUCGGAAAGCCGGUCUCAGUUCGGAUUGGGGUCUGCAACUCGACCUCAUGAAGUCGGAGUCGCUAGUAAUCGCAGAUCAGCAACGCUGCGGUGAAUACGUUCCCGGGGCU
rnacentral:rRNA from 1 species